UAAAUAGAAUAUUGAUUUUAUUCCAUUUCCUAUCUCAUUAGAGUCAUUGUCAUGAGGAUGAAUUCACGUUGUGUAAUUAUCUGUUCUUGCUGACAGUUCUCAUGUCACUGAGACUGGUGUUUUCAGCUUCUACUUUCUCUAAGCAUAAAAAUAGCAUUCUUCCCUGCCAUCUCCUCCUUCAGGGUUGUGCUCCUUGCCUGCCCAGCCCGUGGAGAGGCGUGUGUGGAUUGAGAUAAACAGGGAUGGCCAGCAAAGGCAGGCACAGAUCAGUGACAGCAGUGCCUCUUUGGGAGCGAUUCUCAGGGCAGGCAGUUAACUCAUUUUUGUGUCAAAGACUGUAAUGGGGGGGAAAACGCAUUGUUAAUCUGUCUGCACAUUUCUUUAUAGCAAUAAGGGGCAGUAACAGGAGUCUUUUCUCUGUCAGAUUCACUUUCUUGGACAUUUCCAGAUAACCUUUCCAUUGAUUUGUGAAGCUGUUUCUUAAUCAUUUUCAUUGACCCAGCUCAGGAGACAACUAAGUCAUCUCUGUUACCCUUCUAAGGAAUGGCUUCUCAGUGUUAUUUCUCUCUUCUGUCUCUUCUGAGAAUCACUUUUUAAUUUGCUUUCAAUCCUUGUAUCUUGAUAUUCAGUAAAGGCAAGGUUCUGCCUUGGCCUAACCAAUGUUGCAAUAUUGGCAAAUGAUUCCAAAUAAUCUGGCAAAUGCUUCCAAAUUUCAAAAAGUGAACUUUAAAAUCCACCUGUGGAUCACAAGAGUCUUUAGUACUGACUGUUCUGCUAGGUGGGGUCUAGAAACUGUCAACCCUAAAUCAGUUUUAAUGAAGUGAAAAAUAAAAAGUUCAGUUCUUUUCCUGCCCUGUCCCUACGGUUCUCCCUCUGGAUUUGUUACAGUCCUAUCGGCGGGGUUUUGUAGACAGUGUAUCUUCCAGCAUGUGGAGCUUACUGGGGACUCCUUAGUGACUGAAUAUCACAAGAGAAUUUCCAUGUGAUGGGAAAACAGUUCAUGCAGAUAAAAAAGGAUUAUUCUAUGCUAACAUCUUCCUUUUUUUAGUGGGAAUAUUGAAGAUAAACCUCUGGUCUGACAUCAGCCUUUAUUUCUGUUCAAAGGCUAUUUUUAAAGCUGACAUUUCUGGCUGUUUUCAGGUAGACAACAAACUGACAAAACACUUUUUCUUCAAGUAACUGUUUGUACAAAAUACACAUCUAGUAUUUCUUUGUGUUCCAAAGAUUUACCUUUGAGGCAUCAGCUCCUUGGAGUAAUGCUUUCCUUUUUGUGGCUGGCAGCCUGAAGAAGGAGGGGUGGAAUUCAGGCUCAUUUAGUGCAGUCACAAGUGUGUCACUGACCUCAGCAGGAGCAGGAUUUCUCUCCAAGUGGGUGACUGUCCAAAUCCUAACAAAACUUAUUACAAACCUGGGAGUAAAACACAGUCUGGGGAGCCUUACCAGGAAUAUUUCUCCUUUGAGUACAUGAGAGCACAAAAGCUAGAUUUCAUCUGUUUCAUUUUGGUUGCUGCCUUCAUCUCUCUUUCAUUUCUUGUUAGGGGUGACUGCUUGUGUAAUGAGAGUGAAAUAUCUUCUUUGGAUGCGAUGGCCUUUAACUUGCAUUGGCUUUAGCAUAUAAAAUGCAUCAAUUUGCUGCUCUAACUCUUCUUGGUGUUUGGAAAAAUCAGUGCUUGGUAUGGAUUGGUUACCAAGCUGGUGAACAGGAGAAAACCUGCUUAGAGCUGUUCCACAGCUUUGUGGUAGAGCCCUUCUUGCUGGCAUUGGCAGCACCAUGUCCUGAGGCUCUCACAGGGAACAGAUGCUCCUAACAAAGUAACUCAAGUCACUCUGUGCAGUGCAGGAGUGAGGUGGGAGGAUGCAGAUCCAGCUCUUGUCUGCGGAGGACAAGUUGCACUGCACCUUGACUGAAGGCUGGGAGAUGUGUUGAGGUUUCCAAAAGCGCUCUGAUGUGCUGGUAUUCCUGCACGAGGCUGCAGGGAUGCCUGGUGGAUCUGGUGGACCCAGCAGCACAUUCUCUGCUUUCAGAUCUCUUGGUGCUAGUCUGUCAUGGCUGGGAAGCGUGGCACAAGUGCACAAACCAAACUGGUUUGCCUGGACAUUUGUUACAGAACAGGUUUUCAAGACCUAAGAAUUCAAUAUCCCAAGCACUGAGGAGUAGUGACUGCUGGUGCAGGAUGACCCUGACCUUCAGUUUUAGGCAAUUGAAGCAAAUGAGUAUCUGUGUUUACUACACAGACGUGUAGUUGUUAACCUGUGCUUGCAAGUAAUGAUGUAGUUGUUUGUCUCUUGGUAGCAGGGAUUAAAAACGUGGCAUGAUUUCAAGUGUCCUGGCAAAGAACUCACAGUGCCUGUUGUAAUCUCAUUAGCUCUGUUAGGUGUGUUUUCCUUCCCCUGGAGUUGGUUGUUCUGAUCACUGUGUCCCUAGAAAAAGACUGUAGCUUUUUCUCAUCUGUUGGUUUGCGUGCACGCUGAGAGUAUCACUUCCCAGGGAGUGAUUCUGGGGUCUGUGUCAGUGACCUGCAUGGGAGGGGUGGGAAAUAGGAAGAUGGUGAAGCAGCAUCUUUAGAAAGACGAGGAUGGGAAUAGUGUUCCCCAUAGCACAGGCGGAGGAUGCUGCGGGGUUGCAGUGCUGGCAGAAUCCCCAUCGCUGGUGUUGUCAGUGUGUCCCAGGCAGUGCCACGAGGGUCCCUGUGCUCCGUGCUCUGGGCACC
ensembl:lncRNA